rnacentral:rRNA from 1 species
AUUGAACGCUGGCGGCAGGCUUAACACAUGCAAGUCGAGCGGGGAAAGGUAGCUUGCUACUUAACCUAGCGGCGGACGGGUGAGUAAUGCUUAGGAAUCUGCCUAUUAGUGGGGGACAACAUCUCGAAAGGGAUGCUAAUACCGCAUACGUCCUACGGGAGAAAGCAGGGGACCUUCGGGCCUUGCGCUAAUAGAUGAGCCUAAGUCGGAUUAGCCAGUUGGUGGGGUAAAGGCCUACCAAGGCGACGAUCUGUAGCGGGUCUGAGAGGAUGAUCCGCCACACUGGGACUGAGACACGGCCCAGACUCCUACGGGAGGCAGCAGUGGGGAAUAUUGGACAAUGGGGGGAACCCUGAUCCAGCCAUGCCGCGUGUGUGAAGAAGGCCUUUUGGUUGUAAAGCACUUUAAGCGAGGAGGAGGCUACCGAGAUUAAUACUCUUGGAUAGUGGACGUUACUCGCAGAAUAAGCACCGGCUAACUCUGUGCCAGCCGCCGCCGUAAGAC